UACGGAGGGUGCAAGCGUUGUCCGGAUUUAUUGGGUUUAAAGGGUGCGUAGGCGGCCCGUUAAGUCAGCGGUGAAAUCCCGGGGCUCAACCCCGGAACUGCCGUUGAUACUGGCGGGCUUGAGUUCGGUGAAGGCGGGCGGAACUGGCGGUGUAGCGGUGAAAUGCUUAGAUACCGCCAAGAACCCCGAUUGCGUAGGCAGCUCGCUGUGCCGAAACUGACGCCGAGGCACGAAAGCGUGGGGAGCGAACAGG
rnacentral:rRNA from 1 species